rnacentral:rRNA from 1 species
GACGAACGCUGGCGGCGUGCCUAAUACAUGCAAGUAGAACGCACAGGAUGCACCGUAGUUUACUACACCGUAUUCUGUGAGUUGCGAACGGGUGAGUAACGCGUAGGUAACCUGCCUGGUAGCGGGGGAUAACUAUUGGAAACGAUAGCCAAUACCGCAUAAGAACAUUUACUGCAUGGUAGAUGUUUAAAAGGUGCAAAUGCAUCACUACCAGAUGGACCUGCGUUGUAUUAGCUAGUAGGUGAGGUAACGGCUCACCUAGGCGACGAUACAUAGCCGACCUGAGAGGGUGAUCGGCCACACUGGGACUGAGACACGGCCCAGACUCCUACGGGAGGCAGCAGUAGGGAAUCUUCGGCAAUGGGGGGAACCCUGACCGAGCAACGCCGCGUGAGUGAAGAAGGUUUUCGGAUCGUAAAGCUCUGUUGUUAAGGAAGAACGAGUGUGAGAAUGGAAAGUUCAUACUGUGACGGUACUUAACCAGAAAGGGACGGCUAACUACGUGCCAGCAGCCGCGGUAAUACGUAGGUCCCGAGCGUUGUCCGGAUUUAUUGGGCGUAAAGCGAGCGCAGGCGGUUAGAUAAGUCUGAAGUUAAAGGCAGUGGCUCAACCAUUGUAGGCUUUGGAAACUGUUUAACUUGAGUGCAGAAGGGGAGAGUGGAAUUCCAUGUGUAGCGGUGAAAUGCGUAGAUAUAUGGAGGAACACCGGUGGCGAAAGCGGCUCUCUGGUCUGUAACUGACGCUGAGGCUCGAAAGCGUGGGGAGCGAACAGG